ensembl:snRNA U6 U6 spliceosomal RNA
GUGCUUGUUGUGGCAGCACAUACACUAAAAAUGGAAUGAUACAAAGAAGAUUGGCGUGGCCCCUAGACAGGGAUGCAAACUUGUGAAGAGUUCCAUAUUUUG